UACGUAGGGCGCAAGCGUUGUCCGGAAUUAUUGGGCGUAAAGAGCUCGUAGGUGGCUUGUCGCGUCUGCCGUGAAAGCCCGUGGCUUAACUUCGGGUCUGCGGUGGAUACGGGCAGGCUAGAGGCUGGUAGGGGCAAGCGGAAUUCCUGGUGUAGCGGUGAAAUGCGCAGAUAUCAGGAGGAACACCAAUGGCGAAGGCAGCUCUCUGGGACGGUACUGACGCUGAGACGCGAAAGCGUGGGGAGCGAACAGG
rnacentral:rRNA from 1 species